AGAGAGGUGGCCGAGUGGUCGAAGGCGCACGCCUGGAAAGUGUGUAUACCCCACAAGGGUAUCGAGGGUUCGAAUCCCUUCCUCUCUGCAA
rnacentral:tRNA from 1 species